UACGUAGGGUGCGAGCGUUUGUCCGGAAUUAUUGGGCGUAAAGAGCUCGUAGGCGGUUUGUCGCGUCGGCCGUGAAAACUUGGGGCUUAACUCCAAGCUUGCGGUCGAUACGGGCAGACUUGAGUUCGGCAGGGGAGACUGGAAUUCCUGGUGUAGCGGUGGAAUGCGCAGAUAUCAGGAGGAACACCGGUGGCGAAGGCGGGUCUCUGGGCAGUAACUGACGCUGAGGAGCGAAAGCGUGGGGAGCGAACAGG
rnacentral:rRNA from 1 species